GACGAACGCUGGCGGCGUGCUUAACACAUGCAAGUCGAGCGGUAAGGCCCUUUCGGGGGUACGACGAGCGGCGAACGGGUGAGUAACACGUGGGUGACCUGCCCUUACGCUCUGGGAUAAGCCUGGGAAACUGGGUCUAAUACCGGAUAUGACUCCAUGACGCAUGUUGUGGGGUGGAAAGCCUUGUGCGGCUAGGGAUGGGCCCGCGGCCUAUCAGCUUGUUGGUGGGGUGAUGGCCUACCAAGGCGACGACGGGUAGCCGGCCUGAGAGGGCGACCGGCCACACUGGGACUGAGACACGGCCCAGACUCCUACAGGAGGCAGCAGUGGGGAAUCUUGCGCAAUGGGCGAAAGCCUGACGCAGCGACGCCGCGU
rnacentral:rRNA from 1 species